rnacentral:rRNA from 1 species
GUGCCAGCAGCCGCGGUAAUACGAAUGGGGCAAGCGUUGUUCGGAUUUACUGGGCGUAAAGCGGGCGUAGGCGGCCGGCUAAGUCGGAUGUGAAAUCCCGGGGCUCAACUCCGGAACUGCAUUCGAUACUGGUCGGCUAGAGUUCGAGAGGGGGAUGCGGAAUUCCGCGUGUAGCAGUGAAAUGCGUAGAUAUGCGGAGGAACACCUGAGGCGAAGGCGGCCGACUGGAACUGACCUGACGCUGAGGGACGAAAGCCAGGGGAGCGAACCGGAUUAGAUACCCGGGUAGUCCUGGCCGUAAACGAUGGAUGCUAGAUGUGGGCGGGGAGACCCGUCCGUGUCGCAAGCUAACGCGUUAAGCAUCCCGCCUGGGGAGUACGGCCGCAAGGUUGAAACUUAAAUGAAUUGCCGGGG